GGCGUCCAUAUUGCUCACAGACAGCAUGUCACCUUGUGUGGAACAAAGAAAGCCUACCAGCAACUAAAAAACCUAAAGGCUCCCGUCAGUUUUCGGUCAGAUGCAACUGGUUUUCAACCCAAUCAACCUCUAAUCACCCCCACUAAUCAACCUCUAAUCACCCCCCACUAAUCAACCUUUAAUCACACUCCAACCACCCUCUAGACCACCUUAACCAUCAAUAAACUGUGAAAAGAUUUUAGUUGCUCAUGUGUUUGAAGAUCAAGACCCUUUUCAAGUUGGGGCAAAGAACUGAAGGAGUUAAAGACAACUUGCCAUUCUUUUUUCAUUAUUUUCUCUAGGUAAUGUCUCAAUUGCAAAAAUAUAUAAAAGUCUUGAUUGGUUAAUCUAAACUGAUUCUUUAGUUCCUGGACUUGUGAAGUGCACCCCCUUCAAAGAGAUUACUGUGUAUGAUGAGCCGCUUUUCUGCCCAUUGUUUGAAUCAUAUGUCAAACCCGUUGGGUGGAAAAUCUGAGUAAUUUUUUAUCCAUUUUAUUAUCCAGUAUGGUUCCUUAUGCUUGUUUUCAUUAAUUCUAUGCCAAAUUUUGAUUGAGACUUUUAUUAAUGGGUUGGUGUCUUUUAAAAACUUAACCACGCCUGUGUCCCCUAUGAUUGCUUGCAAUGGAAUAUCCCUUGAUGUCAUGAUCCUGCCGCUACAGCACAAGCUGUGCGGGUGCGCUAAUUGGGAGGCACACACCUGUGCCUCAUGCGGGCUGAUCAUCCCCCGUACAUUUAGGACCCAGUGACAACUGGUCAGCCGCCAGUUCGUUGACCUUUAUGUCCCGUUCCAGCACUCUCGUAUCCUGUUUGAACCUGUGUGUACCGACCUUCGUCCGUUCUCUGACCAACCCCGUAAGCCUGACUCCUUGACACUUCUGCCUGCGUUGAUUGUUUCCCCGUGUACCGACUACUGCCUGCCCACUCAUCUGCUUUCUUCGCCCGACGCCCAUACAACCGCUGCUGCACUGGACUGCCUGCUCGAUCCCCGACCUCGCCAUACAAUAAACGUGUCUCUUCUUGAACUAC